CUGAUAUAUGAAGAGCUUAAGUGCGUUCAGGAUGCAGGAAAGAUUAAUAAGAGAAGGUAAGGAAAGUGCAUUGUGGGUAUUUCCCACCUUCUUAAUUAAGAAAAUAAUGCAGACUUUCCUUACUGCCUUGCUAUAUGGAGAAUAUAAUUAUAUAGAAUUAUGUAUGUGUGUAUAGUGAAUACUGUUUAUAUAGUAAAUAUGUAUAAAGUUAAUCUACAGUGUAUAGAUAUAUAUUUAUAAAAUAUAAAGUGUAUAAAUACCUAAAGUCAAUAGUGUUAAAAGUGUAUAUAUGUGUUUAAGAAAUAUUUAUAUAGUGUAGAGUAUAUAGUGCAUUUAUGUAUUUUGAUUGUAUAUAAAGUUUAAACUCUGCCAAAUUCAGAGUAGGGUUUGAGGGGUGAAUAACUUUUUUUAUGAAUGAACCAAUUUCAAUGAUAUUACAAACAAUGAAUGCUCUGCGUAUGAAGAUUUGCCUGACUAUGUACGGAAGAUGACAUCUUUUAAAUCAGUUCCAUUUACCGCCUCGCAAAGUCGGACGCUUUCGAUUGCAUUGUUCAUAACAGAAGCUAAUGUUUGAGGCUCGAAUUAAUGCACAAAUAUUCUCCUUGAUCUGCUCAAGUGUACGUGGUUUGUUUAUAUACAUCAAAAACUUCAGAUAUCCACCCAGGAAGUACUUAGGAGCUCAAAAGAUGGACAAACGUGGCAGCUUACAUUGAAGUGCCGGUGGUAAGCUCUUUGCGUUAAAAUAAUGGACCUGCCAUUUUGAGAUUUCAAUUCCACUACUUUUACUCGUUGUAACUCCAUGAAAUUACCCACGAUGAAUUUACAAAGACUCAGUUAUAAUAUGUACCUGCAACUGAAAAAUUCAACUACUAACAAGUUAUUUACCUGUCAAAUCCAACUCUUAAUAUUGGCCCACCCUUUACAUUAUACAUAACGUAACUAUUAAAUGUAGUAUAUAUAUAUUGUAUAUUCAGUGUAUACCUCUAUACAUUGCAGAUUGUAUAUAGAAUAUACCGGAUAUAUGGUGUAUAUAUGUAUAUAGUGCAUGUAGAGUGUAUAAUGCAUUGCAGCAUAACAAGUAUAUAUAGCGUAUGUAACUAUUGAAUGUAGUAUAUAUAUAUUGUAUAUUUGGUGUAUACCUCUAUACAUUGCAGAUUGUAUAUAGAAUACACAAGAUAUAUGGUGUAUAUAUGUAUGUAGUGCAUGUAGAGUGUUUAAGACAUUUAAGCAUAACAAGUACAUAUAGAGUAUAUAACUAUUGAAUGGAGUAUAUAUAUAUAUAUAGUAUAUUCGGUGUAUACCUGUGUACAUUGCAGAUUGUAUAUAGAAUACACAGGAUAUAUGGUGUAUAUAUGUAUAGAUGUAUAUAGUGUAUGUAGAGUGUAUAGUGCAUUUAAGUAUUACAAGUAUAUAUAGCGUAUGUAACUAUUGAAUGUAGUAUAUAUAUAUUGUAUAUUCGGUGUAUACCUGUGUACAUUGCAGAUUGUAUAUAGAAUACACAGGAUAUAUGGUGUAUAUAUUUGUAAAGUGCAUAUAGAGUCUAUUGUGCAUUUAAGCAUAAGAAGUAUUUAUAGAGUAUAUAACUAUUGAAUGUAGUAUAUAUAUUGUAUAUUCGGUGUAUACCUGUGUACAUUGCAGAUUAUAUAUAGAAUACACAGGAUAUAUGGUGUAUAUAUGUAUAUAGUGUAUGUAGAGUGUAUAGUGCAUUUAAGCAUAACAAGUAUAUAUAGCGUAUGUAACUUAAAUGUAGUAUAUAUAUUGUAUAUUCGGUGUAUACCUGUGUAUAUUGCAGAUUGUAUAUAGAAUACACAGGAUAUAUGGUGUAUAUAUGUAUAUAGUGUAUGUAGCGUGUAUAGUGCAUUUUAGCAUAAAAAGUAUAUAUAGCGUAUGUAACUAUUGAAUGUAGUAUAUAUAUAUUGUAUAUUCGGUGUAUACCUGUGUACAUUGCAGAUUGUAUAUAGAAUACACAGGAUAUAUGGUGUAUAUAUGUGUAAAGUGCAUGUAGAGUGUAUAGUGCAUUUAAGAAUAACAAGUAUAUAUAGAGUAUAUAACUAUUGACUGUAGUAUAUAUAUUGUAUAUUCGGUGUAUACCUGUGUACAUUGCAGAUUGUAUAUAGAAUACACAGGAUAUAUGUUGUAUAUAUGUAUGUAGUGCAUGUAGAGUGUAUAGGACAUUUAAGCAUAAGAAGUAUAUACAGAGUAUAUAACUAUUGAAUGUAAUAUAUAUAUAUAUAUAUAUAUUGUAUAUUCGGUGUAUACCUCUAUAUAUUGCAGAUUGUAAAUAGAAUACACAGGAUGUAUGGUGUGUAUAUGUAUGUAGUGCAUGUAGAGCGUAUAGUGCAUUUAAGAAUAACAAGUGUAUAUAUAGAGUAUAUAACUAUUGAAUGUAGUAUAUAUAUUGUAUAUUCGGUGUAUACCUGUGUACAUUGCAGAUUGUAUAUAGAAUACACAGGAUAUAUGGUGUAUAUAUGUGUAAAGUGCAUGUAGAGUGUAUAAUGCAUUUCAGCAUAACUAGUACAUAUAGAGUGUAUAACUAUGAAAUGUAGUAUAUAUAUUGUAUAUUCGGUGUAUACCUGUGUACAUAGCAGAUUGUAUAUAGAAUACACAGGAUAUAUGGUGUAUAUAUGUAUAUAGUGCAUUUAAGCAUAAUAGGUAUGCAUAGAGUAUUUAAUCUACAUAUACAUAUAGAGUACAUACAAUGUAUAGAGCUUGUGUAGAGUUUUGAUAUCGAGUAUAUGACUAGAGUAAAUCAUUAGCAUAUAAGAUUUAUAUGUUAUAUAUGUAUACAGUGUGUAUGUGUAAACAGUAUUUAUAAUAUAGUUUUGCAUAGUUACAUAAUACGUAUAAUGUGCACAGUUACGGUAAGCAUAUAAUGCAUAUAGAUAGAUAGACAUAUUUUCCAUGAUACCAAAGAGCAAUUUGUUUUUUUUUUAAUUCUUUUCAAUUAGGGAUACAUUUUGGUGAAUGGAAUGGAGAUUUCAUAUCCAAACAACUGGACAACUGAAGAGAAAAAGGAGAAAAAAUAAAAGCCAGGAUGUGAGGAAAUAAAUGACAAAUGGAUCAGCAAUACCAGAAGGAGCCACCAGAACCACAGCCAAAGAAAAUCUCGCAAAAUAAAGGACUCCACUACAGCUUUAAAUGGACGGAAAUACAUCACUAAAUUUGUUGACGCACAAACAACAGUACGACUCUGGAAAGAACGUUCCAGGCACACGUAGGGCAACAAACC